rnacentral:rRNA from 1 species
CAGUCGCCACGGUAAAACGUAGGUGGCAAGCGUUGUCCGGAAUUAUUGGGCGUAAAGGGCUCGCAGGCGGUUUCUUAAGUCUGAUGUGAAAGCCCCCGGCUCAACCGGGGAGGGUCAUUGGAAACUGGGAAACUUGAGUGCAGAAGAGGAGAGUGGAAUUCCACGUGUAGCGGUGAAAUGCGUAGAGAUGUGGAGGAACACCAGUGGCGAAGGCGACUCUCUGGUCUGUAACUGACGCUGAGGAGUGAAAGCGUGGGGAGCGAACAGGAUUAGAUACCCCCGUAGUCCCUGUCUCUUAUAC